GCUGUGGUUUUUGUUUCUUUCAUCUUAUCUGAGAGGCAUUUACCUUGUGCUUUGACAGGUUCCAACACAGUAAAUCAAAGGCUACAAUAACCUGGGCCAUUCACUAUGGUCACAAGCAGAUGAUACAGCUUUAAGCAGGUUCAGACUCCAGCCAAACACAGUUCUGUAUUGAAUAAGAUUCUGCAUCAAUGAGGAGAAGUGUCAUAGGAGGCCUCAUAAGACACCAGAUGACCAAUUACAGGAGAAUCAUCAGAAAGAGAACAAGAAAGACUGAGGUAAAAAUGACUAAUGGUGUUUUUGUGCUCCCUUCCUACUUUCCUUUGAAGGAUAAUUAUUGAUUUAUCAAAAAAUAUACUUGCCAUGAAUUACAUCACAUGCUCUUAGAAAUAUGAGGUAUAUAGAAAUGUUGGAAUAUAAACUGUGUUACAUGGAGUCUUUUUGUUAACAGGAUUUUUUCUAAUUCUUUAUGAUUCUCUAUGCCUAUAUGAAUGCAAAGCUGUUUCGUUUUAUUUUGGGCCCAAAUACUUUAUUAUAAUCAUAAUAACAAGCCUACAAUAAUUUUGCAGGCUUGUUAAUAGAGAGCCUACAGUUUGUUGUUUAUCAAGCCAGCAUUUGAGUUAGGCCUCAUAAAUAUGCCCAG
rnacentral:lncRNA from 1 species